CAGCAGCCGCGGGAAAACGAAGGGGGCUAGCGUUGUUCGGAUUUACUGGGCGUAAAGCGCACGUAGGCGGACUUUUAAGUCAGGGGUGAAAUCCCGGGGCUCAACCCCGGAACUGCCUUUGAUACUGGAAGUCUUGAGUAUGGUAGAGGUGAGUGGAAUUCCGAGUGUAGAGGUGAAAUCCGUAGAUAUUCGGAGGAACACCAGUGGCGAAGGCGGCUCACUGGACCAUUACUGACGCUGAGGUGCGAAAGCGUGGGGAGCGAACAGGAUUAGAGACCCCCGUAGUCCCUGUCUCUUAUAC
rnacentral:rRNA from 1 species